rnacentral:rRNA from 1 species
AGGAACAACGCUGGCGGCGUGCCUAACGCAUGCAAGUCGGGCGGGGUCGUCUUUCGGGGCGGCUCAGCGGCGGACGGGUGAGGAGCACGUGAUCGACCUGCCCAUGAGUGGGGGCCAACCCCGGGAAACCGGGGCUGUUACCGCAUGCGUCCGGCCCCUGGUGGGGGGGUCGGGGAAAGCCUUUCGGGGCGCUCAUGGAGGGGAUUGCGUCCGAUUAGCUAGUCGGCGGGGUAACGGCCCACCGAGGCGACGAUCGGUCGCUGGUCUGAGAGGACGACCAGCCACAGGGGGACUGAGACACGGCCCCCACACCUACGGGUGGCAGCAGCGAGGGAUUUCGGCAAUGGGCGCAAGCCUGACCGAGCAACGCCGCGUGCGGGAUGACGGCCUUCGGGUUGUAACCGCUUUUCCCCGGGGCGAAGAUGACGGUACCGGGGAAGUCAGCCUCGGCUAACUACGUGCCAGCAGCCGC